AUUGAACGCUGGCGGCAGGCUUAACACAUGCAAGUCGAACGAUGAAACUCUAGCUUGCUAGAGAUGAUUAGUGGCGGACGGGUGAGUAACAUUUAGGAAUCUGCCUCGUAGUGGGGGAUAGCUCGGGGAAACUCGAAUUAAUACCGCAUACGACCUACGGGUGAAAGGGGGCGCAAGCUCUUGCUAUUAGAUGAGCCUAAAUCAGAUUAGCUAGUUGGUGGGGUAAAGGCCCACCAAGGCGACGAUCUGUAACUGGUCUGAGAGGAUGAUCAGUCACACCGGAACUGAGACACGGUCCGGACUCCUACGGGAGGCAGCAGUGGGGAAUAUUGGACAAUGGGGGCAACCCUGAUCCAGCCAUGCCGCGUGUGUGAAGAAGGCCUUUUGGUUGUAAAGCACUUUAAGCAGGGAGGAGAGGCUAAUGGUUAAUACCCAUUAGAUUAGACGUUACCUGCAGAAUAAGCACCGGCUAACUCUGUG
rnacentral:rRNA from 1 species